rnacentral:rRNA from 1 species
GGUACUUUCAGUGCCCGAGUUGUAAUUUGUAGAAUUUGUCUUUGAUUAGGUCCUUGUCUAUGUUCCUUGGAACAGGACGUCAUAGAGGGUGAGAAUCCCGUUUGGCGAGGAUACCUUUUCUCUGUAAGACUUUUUCGAAGAGUCGAGUUGUUUGGGAAUGCAGCUCAAAGUGGGUGGUAAAUUCCAUCUAAAGCUAAAUAUUGGCGAGAGACCGAUAGCGAACAAGUACAGUGAUGGAAAGAUGAAAAGAACUUUGAAAAGAGAGUGAAAAAGUACGUGAAAUUGUUGAAAGGGAAGGGCAUUUGAUCAGACAUGGUGUUUUUUGCAUGCACUCGCCUCUCGUGGGCUUGGGCCUCUCAAAAAUUUCACUGGGCCAACAUCAGUUCUGGCAGCAGGAUAAAUCAUUAAGAAUGUAGCUACUUCGGUAGUGUUAUAGCUUAUUGGAAUACUGCUAGCUGGGAUUGAGGACUGCGCUUCGGCAAGGAUGUUGGCAUAAUGGUUAAAUGCCGC